rnacentral:rRNA from 1 species
GACGAACGCUGGCGGCGUGCUUAACACAUGCAAGUCGAACGGAAAGGCCCUGCUUUUGUGGGGUGCUCGAGUGGCGAACGGGUGAGUAACACGUGAGUAACCUGCCCUUGACUUUGGGAUAACUUCAGGAAACUGGGGCUAAUACCGGAUAGGAGCUCCUGCUGCAUGGUGGGGGUUGGAAAGUUUCGGCGGUUGGGGAUGGACUCGCGGCUUAUCAGCUUGUUGGUGGGGUAGUGGCUUACCAAGGCAUUGACGGGUAGCCGGCCUGAGAGGGUGACCGGCGACCAUACGACUGCGGGACGGCGCAGAGGCCAACUGUGGACAGCAGUGGGGAAUCUUACACAAUGAGCGCACGUGUGAUACGGCAGCGCUGCGUGCGGGAUGACGGCCUUUGGGUUGUAAACCGCUUUUGCCUGUGAAGGAGCGGGAAUGACGGUACUGGAUGAAGAAGCACCGGCUAACUACGUG